UUCUCCUUGUAAUGAAAGAUCCCUGAAGAGAGAUCCUUACUCAAGUCUCGGGAAGUUGCAGACCCCAGACACCGAGAGACCA
rnacentral:pre_miRNA from 14 species